UUUAAAUUCUAUACGCUUCCGGAUUGGCAACCAAUGUAACUUUUGGAGAAUUGGUGAGAUGUGUUGAUAUUUUGAUGUACCAGUUAAAACCCUGGCAGCUGUAUUCUGAGCAUACUGAAGUUUAUUAACAUUGCGUGAGGUUAUAUUAAAAAGAAGAGCAUUUCCAACAUCUAAUCGAGAUAGUACAAAUGAGUGUAUAAGCAUAGCAGCAGACUUAUGGUCAAGGACUUUCCUCAUGCUGUUAACAUUAUGAAUAUUAUAGUAUACUGAUUGACAUAUUUUCUUUACUUGUGCAUCCAUAGACAUAUGUUCGUCAAAUACGACACCGAGAUUUCGAACUGAUGACAAGGCUUUAAUCAAGGAGUCCCCAACCUGUAUAGUCCGGUCCUUAAUCAAAUGACUUUGUGAUUUAGAACUAAUAAUCAACAAGUCUGUUUUACUUUCAUUUAAUUUCAACUUAUUCUUUAUCAUCCAUGACCGCAUAUCAUCUAUUGUAUUUUGUAAACGAAGCCUGGCAGACAACUCACUAGCAGGGUCAGUUGGAUCAAAUGACACAUACAACUGUGUAUCAUCCGCAUACAUAUGAAUGUCUAUGCCAUGUUUCUGCGCAAUUUUUGCAAGAGGACUGGAAUAGAUGGCAAAAAACAACGGCCCGAGAACUGAACCUUGGGGCACUCCAAAAGGAAGUUUAACAGGAGACGACAUAUUUUCACCAAUCUUGACAACCUGUGAUCUAUCAUGAAGAUAAGAUGAAAACCAAUCAAGAACAACUCCUUCUAUGCCACAAUAUUUCAACCGAUCCAAUAGCAAAUCAUGGUCAACAGUAUCAAAUGCUGACGAAAGAUCAAGCAGAAGGAGGAAAACAGCCUUCUUGUCAUCAACAGCACGAAGAAUAUCAUUUGAUACACGAACCAAAGCAGUUUCUACCCCAUGACAUUUCCUAUAUGCAGAUUGGAAAGGUUCAAACAAUUCAUUAUCCAAGAAAUAGUUGGUGAGACGCACAGCAACAACCUUUUCUAAUAUCUUUGACACAAACUUUAAAUUUGAGACAGGUCUAUAGUUUUUUAAUUCCUCUGAGUCUAACGAUGGAUUUUUCAAGAGAGGAGUGACAAGUGCUUGCUUGAAAUCAUGAGGAAAAUUACCAGUUUCAAGAGAAAUGUUGAUAAUUUUUGUGAUUAUUGGAAGCAACAGAUUCAUAUGUUUCUUAAGAA